rnacentral:rRNA from 1 species
CAGUCGCCGCGGGAAUACGUAGGGUGCAAGCGUUAAUCGGAAUUACUGGGCGUAAAGCGUGCGCAGGCGGUUUUGUAAGACAGAGGUGAAAUCCCCGGGCUCAACCUGGGAACUGCCUUUGUGACUGCAAGGCUUGAGUGCGGCAGAGGGGGAUGGAAUUCCGCGUGUAGCAGUGAAAUGCGUUGAGAUCGGAAGGAACACCAACGGUGAAAGCACUCUGCUGGGCCGACACUGACACUGAGAGACGAAAGCUAGGGGAGCAAAUGGGAUUAGAUACCCGAGUAGUCCCUGUCUCUUAUAA